UACGGGGGGAGCAAGCGUUGUUCGGAUUUACUGGGCGUAAAGGGUGCGUAGGCGGCACGGUAAGUCAGAGGUGAAAUCCCGGAGCUCAACUUCGGAAUUGCCUCCGAUACUGCCGUGCUUGAGGACUGGAGAGGAGAUUGGAAUUCACAGUGGAGCAGUGAAAUGCGUAGAUAUUGUGAGGAACACUAGUGGCGAAGGCGAAUCUCUGGACAGUUCCUGACGCUGAGGCACGAAGGCCAGGGGAGCAAACGGG
rnacentral:rRNA from 1 species